rnacentral:rRNA from 1 species
AUACGUAGGUGGCAAGCGUUGUCCGGAAUUAUUGGGCGUAAAGCGCGCGCAGGUGGUUCCUUAAGUCUGAUGUGAAAGCCCCCGGCUCAACCGGGGAGGGUCAUUGGAAACUGGGGAACUUGAGUGCAGAAGAGGAUAGUGGAAUUCCAAGUGUAGAGGUGAAAUGCGUAGAGAUUUGGAGGAACACCAGUGGCGAAGGCGACUGUCUGGUCUGUAACUGUAACUGAGGCGCGAAAGCGUGGGGAGAAAACAGGAUUAGAUACCCGGGUGGUCCACGCCGUAAACGAUGAGUGCUAAGUGUUGGGGGGUUUCCGCCCCUCAGUGCUGCAGAUAUCGCAUUAAGCACUCCCCCUGGGGAGUACGGCCGCAAGACUGAAACUCAAAGGAAUUGACUGGG